rnacentral:rRNA from 1 species
AGCAGCCGCGGUAAUUCCAGCUCCAAUAGCGUAUAUUAAAGUUGUUGCAGUUAAAAAGCUCGUAGUUGAAUUUCGGGAUUAGUAAGUUGGUCGUGCCCCCGGUAUGUACUGGCUUUACUGGUUCCUCCUUCUUGAAGAACUGUAAUGUCAUUAAUUUGGUGUUGCAGGGAAACAGGGCUGUUACUUUGAAAAAAUUAGAGUGUUUAAAGCAGGCUAACGCUUGAAUACAUUAGCAUGGAAUAAUGAAAUAGGACGUUUGAUCCUAUUUUGUUGGUUUCUAGGAUUGACGUAAUGAUUAAUAGGGAUAGUUGGGGGCAUUAGUAUUCAAUUGUCAGAGGUGAAAUUCUUGGAUUUAUUGAAGACUAACUACUGCGAAAGCAUUUGCCAGGGAUGUUUUCAUUAAUCAAGAACGAAAGUUAGGGGAUCGAAGACGAUCAGAUACCGUCGUAGUCUUAACCAUAAACUAUGCCGACUAGGGAUCGGAUGAUGUUAAUUUUUUAAUGACUCAUUCGGCGCCUUA